rnacentral:rRNA from 1 species
GCCAGCGGCGAUAGCACGUUGAACGCGCCAUUUCUCCUCGGAUCACUGAAGUUAAGGAACGUUGCACGUGGUUAGUAUCCGGUUGGGUGACCAUGUGGGCAAUCGCGUCCUGCUGGCU